GACGAACGCUGGCGGCGUGCCUAAUACAUGCAAGUUGAGCGAUGAAGAUUGGUGCUUGCACCAAUUUGAAGAGCAGCGAACGGGUGAGUAACGCGUGGGGAAUCUGCCUUUGAGCGGGGGACAACAUUUGGAAACGAAUGCUAAUACCGCAUAAUAACUUUAAACAUAAGUUUUAAGUUUGAAAGAUGCAAUUGCAUCACUCAAAGAUGAUCCCGCGUUGUAUUAGCUAGUUGGUGAGGUAAAGGCUCACCAAGGCGAUGAUACAUAGCCGACCUGAGAGGGUGAUCGGCCACAUUGGGACUGAGACACGGCCCAAACUCCUACGGGAGGCAGCAGUAGGGAAUCUUCGGCAAUGGACGAAAGUCUGACCGAGCAACGCCGCGUGAGUGAAGAAGGUUUUCGGAUCGUAAAACCCUGUUGGUAGAGAAGAACGUUGGUGAGAGUGGAAAGCUCAUCAAGUGACGGUAACUACCCAGAAAGGGACGGCUAACUACGUG
rnacentral:rRNA from 1 species